rnacentral:rRNA from 1 species
CAAAGCUUGCUUUGAUGGAUGGCGACCGGCGCACGGGUGAGUAACACGUAUCCCACCUGCCGACAACACUGGGAUAGCCUUUCGAAAGAAAGAUUAAUACCGGAUGGCAUAGUUUUCCCGCAUGGGAUAAUUAUUAAAGAAUUUCGGUUGUCGAUGGGGAUGCGUUCCAUUAGGCAGUUGGCGGGGUAACGGCCCACCAAACCAACGAUGGAUAGGGGUUCUGAGAGGAAGGUCCCCCACAUUGGAACUGAGACACGGUCCAAACUCCUACGGGAGGCAGCAGUGAGGAAUAUUGGUCAAUGGACGAGAGUCUGAACCAGCCAAGUAGCGUGAAGGAUGACUGCCCUAUGGGUUGUAAACUUCUUUUAUACGGGAAUAAAGUGAGCCACGUGUGGUUUUUUGUAUGUACCGUAUGAAUAAGGAUCGGCUAACUCCGUGCCAGCAGCCGCGGUAAUACGGAGGAUCCGAGCGUUAUCCGGAUUUAUUGGGUUUAAAGGGAGCGUAGGCGGGUUGUUAAGUCAGUUGUGAAAGUUUGCGGCUCAACCGUAAAAUUGCAGUUGAUACUGGCGACCUUGAGUGCAACAGAGGUAGGCGGAAUUCGUGGUGUAGCGGUGAAAUGCUUAGAUAUCACGAAGAACUCCGAUUG